AAAUCAUUUUGGGGACAAUUUCUUAUUAAUUCCUUGUAUCUCUCCCAUGCCUCGUAGAGUGACUCACCCGGUUGUUGCUCGAAAUUUGUUAUGGCCUUGUUUUGUUU